GACGAACGCUGGCGGCGUGCUUAACACAUGCAAGUCGAACGGGAUCCGGGCUUUCGGGUUUGGUGAGAGUGGCGAACGGGUGAGUAACACGUGAGUAACCUGCCCCCUUCUUUGGGAUAACGUCGGGAAAUCGGCGCUAAUACUAGAUAUUCUUGCUGCAUCGCAUGGUGUGGUUUGGAAAGGGUUUCUGGUGGGGGAUGGGCUCGCGGCCUAUCAGCUUGUUGGUGGGGUGAUGGCCUACCAAGGCUUUGACGGGUAGCCGGCCUGAGAGGGUGUCCGGCCACACUGGGACUGAGACACGGCCCAGACUCCUACGGGAGGCAGCAGUGGGGAAUAUUGCACAAUGGGCGCAAGCCUGAUGCAGCGACGCCGCGUGAGGGAUGACGGCCUUCGGGUUGUAAACCUCUUUCAGUAUGGAACAAGGAUCCUUCUUUUGGGGGGUUUGAGGGUACGUGCAGAAGAAGCGCCGGCUAACUACGUG
rnacentral:rRNA from 1 species